AGAGUUUGAUCAUGGCUCAGGACGAACGCUGGCGGCGUGCCUAAUGCAUGCAAGUCGCACGCACUGCCUUCGGGCAGUGAGUGGCGCACGGCUGAGGAACACGUGGGAACCUGCCGUCUUGUGGGGGAUAACGGCGCGAAAGCGGCGCUAAUCCCGCAUCCGCUCCACCUUUGGUGGAGGAAAGCAGUAAUGCGCAGGACGAGGGGCCCGCGGCCCAUCAGGUAGUUGGCGGGGUAACGGCCCACCAAGCCGCUGACGGGUAGCUGGUCUGUGAGGAUGACCAGCCAGACUGGGACUGAGAUACGGCCCAGACUCCUACGGGAGGCAGCAGCAAGGAAUUUUCCGCAAUGGGCGCAAGCCUGACGGAGCAACGCCGCGUGCAGGACGACGGCCUUCGGGUUGUAAACUGCUUUUGGGGGGGACGAAACAGACGGUACCCCCCGAACAAGCCCCGGCUAACUCUGUGCCAGCCGCCGCGGUAAUAC
rnacentral:rRNA from 1 species